rnacentral:lncRNA from 1 species
AUCCUUUCACUUCAUAUAAGAUUUAAAUGAUAAAUUGUUCGUCAGUUUGCUAUUAGAACCUGUCUAUCACAUUCAUCCUAUAUAAGGCUAAUUAAAUUAGUAGGCUACCAUUUUAAACUUCCAAUGUCGAGAAAAACUUUAUAUACAUAGUGUAGCACAAAAUACAUAUGUACUUGACAGAGUUGAAGAGAAGAUUGAUCUUGAGUUUCAAUUAUCCUCAAAACAAAACAGCUACAAGAAAAGAAAAGAAAUUAUCACAAGUACGGAGCCC